UACGUAGGUGGCAAGCGUUGUCCGGAAUUAUUGGGCGUAAAGCGCGCGCAGGCGGUCCUUUAAGUCUGAUGUGAAAGCCCACGGCUCAACCGUGGAGGGUCAUUGGAAACUGGGGGACUUGAGUGCAGGAGAGAAGAGUGGAAUUCCACGUGUAGCGGUGAAAUGCGCAGAUAUCAGGAAGAACACCAAUGGCGAAGGCAGCUCUCUGGGACGGUACUGACGCUGAGACGCGAAAGCGUGGGGAGCGAACAGG
rnacentral:rRNA from 1 species